UAAUUAAUAUGCACUUCGUUUUCGCUUAUUUUUUAGUUAUUGUCACAUCUAUCUAUUAACAUGGAUAAUUUUAGUUGACAUGUUAAUGGCUUCAAAGCUAAUGACGUUUAUUUUUCCAUUGCUUUUUAAAUAAAUAAUAAUAAUAUCUAGAUUGUAAUAUGGAAUAAAUGUUAUGUUUUUUUAGAUUAUGAAACUGAGAUUGAUGAAACUUCACCACCUGACUACACAGACUUUCAGAAUUUGUUAAAUUCAUACAAAGUUUGUGAACCAACUCUUAAGCCGGACGGCUCCAAGACGUUUGAUUGUAUAAAGAAGUGUGGCCGUUCAUACAAAUAUAAACGCAAUUUGUGGCGACACUUGACCUCCGAGUGCGGCGUAGGACCUCAGUAUCAAUGCAACAUUUGUACUCAGUGGUUUGUACACAGAAGCAGCUUGAAAAAACAUUUAUAUUAUUUUCAUAGUAUUUUAUUGGACAAUAAAAAUAAAAAAUAAUAGAUUU